CUACGGGAGGCAGCAGUGGGGAAUAUUGGACAAUGGGCGAAAGCCUGAUCCAGCCAUGCCGCGUGUGUGAAGAAGGCCUUCGGGUUGUAAAGCACUUUCAGUGGGGAAGAAAGCCUUGGGGCUAAUACCCUCGAGGAAGGACAUCACCCACAGAAGAAGCACCGGCUAACUCCGUGCCAGCAGCCGCGGUAAUACGGAGGGUGCGAGCGUUAAUCGGAAUUACUGGGCGUAAAGCGCGCGUAGGCGGUCUGAUAAGCCGGUUGUGAAAGCCCCGGGCUCAACCUGGGAACGGCAUCCGGAACUGUCAGGCUAGAGUGCAGGAGAGGAAGGUAGAAUUCCCGGUGUAGCAGUGAAAUGCGUAGAGAUCGGGAGGAAUACCAGUGGCGAAGGCGGCCUUCUGGACUGACACUGACGCUGAGGUGCGAAAGCGUGGGUAGCAAACAGGAUUAGAUACCCCAGUAGUC
rnacentral:rRNA from 1 species